rnacentral:rRNA from 1 species
UCUUGAAGUCUUAGUGGCGCAGCUAACGCACUAAGUUGACCGCCUGGGGAGUACGGCCGCAAGGUUAAAACUCAAAUGAAUUGACGGGGGCCCGCACAAGCGGUGGAGCAUGUGGUUUAAUUCGACGCAACGCGAAGAACCUUACCUGGCCUUGACAUGCAGAGAACUUUCCAGAGAUGGAUUGGUGCCUUCGGGAACUCUGACACAGGUGCUGCAUGGCCGUCGUCAGCUCGUGUCGUGAGAUGUUGGGUUAAGUCCCGUAACGAGCGCAACCCCUAUCCCUAGUUGCUAGCAGUUCGGCUGAGAACUCUAGGGAGACUGCCGGUGACAAACCGGAGGAAGGUGGGGAUGACGUCAGGUCAUCGUGGCCCUUACGGCCAGGGCUACACACGUGCUACAAUGGUGCGUACAGAGGGCUGCAAACCCGCGAGGGGGAGCUAAUCUCACAAAACGCAUCGUAGUCCGGAUCGGAGUCUGCAACUCGACUCCGUGAAGUCGGAAUCGCUAGUAAUCGCGAAUCAGAAUGUCGCGGUGAAUACGUUCCCGGGCCUUGUACACACCGCCCGUCACACCAUGGGAGUGGAUUGCACCAGAAGUGGUUAGUCUAACCUUCGGGAGGACGAU